AGGACGAACGCUGGCGGCGUGCUUAACACAUGCAAGUCGAGCGGAAAGGCCCUUCGGGGUACUCGAGCGGCGAACGGGUGAGUAACACGUGAGCAACCUGCCCUUAGCUCCGGGAUAGCUCCGGGAAACCGGAAUUAAUACCAGAUAUUACUACGGCCGACAUCAGCUGUGGUGGAAAGAAUUUCGGCUAGGGAUGAGCUCGCGGCCUAUCAGCUUGUGGUGGGGUAAAGGCCCACAAGGCGACGACGGGUAGCCGGCCUGAGAGGGCGACCGGCCACACUGGGACUGAGACACGGCCCAGACUCCUACGGGAGGCAGCAGUGGGGAAUAUUGCGCAAUGGGCGAAAGCCUGACGCAGCGACGCCGCGUGCGGGAUGAAGGCCUUCGGGUUGUAACCGCUUUCAGCAGGGACGAAGCGAAAGUGACGGUACCUGCAGAAGAAGCGCCGGCUAACUACGUGCCAGCAGCCGC
rnacentral:rRNA from 1 species